rnacentral:rRNA from 1 species
UGGGGAAUUUUGGACAAUGGGCGAAAGCCUGAUCCAGCCAUGCCGCGUGAGUGAAGAAGGCCUUCGGGUUGUAAAGCUCUUUUAGUCGGAAAGAAAGAGUUGCAAUGAAUAAUUGUGAUUUAUGACCGUACCGACAGAAAAAGCACCGGCUAACUACGUGCCAGCAGCCGCGGUAAUACGUAGGGUGCGAGCGUUAAUCGGAAUUACUGGGCGUAAAGGGUGCGCAGGCGGUCUUGCAAGUCAGAUGUGAAAGCCCCGGGCUUAACCUGGGAAUUGCGUUUGAAACUACAAGGCUAGAGUGCAGCAGAGGGGAGUGGAAUUCCAUGUGUAGCAGUGAAAUGCGUAGAGAUGUGGAAGAACACCGAUGGCGAAGGCAGCUCCCUGGGUUGCCACUGACGCUCAUGCACGAAAGCGUGGGGAGCAAACA